rnacentral:rRNA from 1 species
UGUAAGCGUAUACCAAAGUUGUUGCAGUUAAAACGCUCGUAGUCGGAAUUUGGCAGUUCCGGAUGUGUGCACGUCGUGUGCGCACUUCGCGGGGAUUGCUUUUGUGGACUUGCGUAGGAUGAGGCACUUUUAUUAGUGAACGUCCUCACGCAACCACUUUUUACUGUGAGAAAAUCAGAGUGCUCAAAGCAGGCAUUUGCCGUGAAUGUAUUAGCAUGGAAUAAUAGAAUAGGACUUGGUUCUAUUUUGUUGGUUUGUUGGGACUGAGUAAUGAUUAAGAGGGACAGUUGGGGGCAUUUGUAUUUCGGUGCUAGAGGUGAAAUUCUUAGAUUACCGAAAGACAAACUGCUGCGAAAGCGUCUGCCAAGGAUGUUUUCAUUGA